rnacentral:lncRNA from 1 species
AAGUGGCUGCUCCAAGCUUCAAGACAUCAUGUUUUUGCGCCUAGGUCCAAAGGAGUGUUUAACCAGUCCAUUGAUUUUGGUCUUGGUCAUUAGAAUUAGGAACCUGUUUUUGCAGCAACUUCCACUUAGUCAAAAAAUGUAAUUAUUCAGUUUUAAUAAAAAAAAUUUAAAGACAAAAUGUAUUUGGAUUAUUUGGAACUUAUUGAAAU